rnacentral:lncRNA from 1 species
ACACAUUCUAGUGCGUUUUUUGAAGUGAGUCAUGUAGCUUUAGAUUAGAAUUGAGUAUUGAAUUUAAAGUGGCAGCCUCUAGCUAAAGAAGAUUAUAGUUUUUGUUGAGUUAAGUCCAUAUUUGGUGGUAGAACUAUGUCUUUCAUAACUUGUUGUUAAUGUAAAGGUUUAAUGAUCGAGAUAGAACAAAAAUGAGAAUUUUCUUGAAAUGGCAGCAACUAUUUUUAAUUAUUCCUAUAAAGUAUUGCUGGAUAUAGUACAUAUGGGGUUGUAAGUUUAAUUUUUGCAAGGGAUUGGUUAAUUGGUGGGUAAUCUAUGAUUUCAGCAUAGGAGAACUCUGAAUUUUUGUAUAUCGGCAGCAACUACCUUGAGAUCUUGUGUUGUUUUAGAAGGACAAAUAUAUAUAACGAGUGUACUUUUAAGAUUUUCUUACUAUUUUGAUGUGUAAAAAUUUUUAAUUAUAAUUGACACACGGUUA